AGCUUUGCACAGUGGCAGUAUCAUAGCCAAUGAGGUUUAUCCAAGGUGCAAUUAUUGCUAAUUGAAAACUUUUCCCAAUACCCCGCUAUGACAACUUGAAAUAUGAUUGGCACUGGCAAUUUUUGACAGUCUCUAUGGAGA
ensembl:snRNA U4 U4 spliceosomal RNA